AGCCGUGCGCCACGCCAUGUAUAAAUAGAGCGACGUAGGAGCAGCACAAUCGUAGGGAGAGAGAGAGAGAGAGAGAGGGAGAGAGACGGGGCAAUGGCUGGUAUGUGGCGAUGUAUGCCCCUUUUACUAUAUACAACUUGCUCCCACAAUUAUAUAGACGAUGAUACGACACUGCACAGACCAGACCAAUCAUUGUACGUUAGUUUCGUUCCAUCGGCCAAUGACUGUGCCUUUGUUCGUGAAUCCAAGCAAAUAACCAUCUUGGUAUAAUCGAUGGGCAAUCGCUGUCGCACCGACGAAUAAUACGUACGAAAUGCGACUUAUUUUCCUUCUUCCAACGUAGCCACGUACGAAAUGGUGCGCCGAGAUCGAAUCCAGCGCGCGAAGCCUUAGACGCGGAGAAGCGGCAACGUCUUUAUUAUCGUAUCGACCAAAAUCCUCCGUAAUUUUCGAAUAAAUUCUUCGUCGCUUCGUUUUUCUCCUAUUCGUCGACGUAUUUUUAGUUAUCGAGGCCUCGUUGCGAACGCAGCUCAAGUAUUUUUCCGACACAGACACAAAUUAAGCAAGUUUUUAUCGUCGGCCAAGCCCGGAUAUUUUACUGCAGUGCGGAAGUGACGGUUUUUACCCGCGUAUGUGUGCAUAGCGCCUGUUUGUGUGAAUACUUUGCCGAGGUUAUGUAGCGGCUGCUGCAACGGAAUAGAGAGCGAGAGAGGGAGAGAGAGUCGGAGGUCGCCCGGAAGAAAGGAAGGAUGAGGGGCAGAGGGCACGGGCGGGCGGUUGGAGAACCCAAGGGAGAGAAAGGGCAACGAAAAAGGGCGGAAAACCGAGUGCUCGAGUGGAUUGAAGCAACUUGAAAAAGAGAAGAAAACUCUGCGAUGCCCUGGGUGCGAGAAGGACCGAGAGAAAAAGAGCUCGCCACACGAGAGUCAGGACAGCGUUGCCACCAUCAUCAUCCCCCUGGAGUGCAUACUAUAGCACCCAUAAUAGCUAUACGCGGAACCAAGGCUAUUGAACCAACGUACGCAGUCAUUGGCCACCGAAUUACUUGCGAUUUUCCUAAACUCCCGAGUGAAAUUCCGGCUGUGCCAAUCACUGUGCCGUUACAUUAUCUCCUCUGUAUAAAUCGAUAAUUUUUCAGUUUGGUCAACUUUUGGAGAGUACCAAGGGCUUCUCAACUCUCCAACGUCCCCGAUGCAUGUUUUUUUGUCGAAUAAAUUAUUUCGCCCAAAAGGAUUUCGUAGUCGGAGAUGAAGCUAAACUUUCCGUGAGUCGAAUCCAAUUAAUCCUUUUCGACUUUCACGCUUGCUGGGAAUAAUCUCCGGGAAGAUCGUCCCAACAUUUUUCAUCACCAUUCGAAUGUUUCAUUUAUUUGAGACUCCUCGUCGCUAAAUUCCAUCGGAAUAUGCAAGAUCGAUUUUCAAGGUUCCAGUUCUCGUAGCACGCAGAACUCGAGCCGCCUCUCGCAGCCCGGUGAAGAUUCGAGGUUCGCGGUAGACGAGGCGAACACUCGUAUGUCGAUCAAUGACUACUACAGUCGCGGACUACUCGCUAAAUAGGCAGAGACACUAAUGCGACGCUGAUCCGGCUUCCCAUCCGCGAACACCGGUUACGUGGCCGACAAAAGGAGGAAAAAUCGUUAUGAAAUUUCAACUUAAAAAGCUCGUCCUUGCUGCUUUGCUCGGGAGUCAAUUCGUUCCGCUGAUUUUGUGGAGACUCUUUUUUCGAUAUUUUUUCGAUGCGAACUAAUAACCGGCUGUCAAUUAAUCUGGUCACGUUCGAGCUAUGAUACGAUCAUUAACACCGCCAAGCAACACAUUCGAAUCGGGCGCGCGCUUUCCACCAGUCUUCAAUAAUUCCGCUAGGUGACUUCGCAUCCCAACGAAUCGCGUAAGAAAAGUCGUCGAUCGCGGUGCAUAAAUGUGAGGCGAAGCUUCGAGCAUGCAAACGAAAAAUCGUUUCCCUGACGAACGAGGAACCCCCCCCGACGUCUCUAACAGUGCGAUCGUCCGACAACGCAAAGAACGGACAAUUCGAUUAUUGAAUAUCCUCGACUUGACCGUGGGGAGCGGUUAGACAACGAAGUUAUGAGAAAUCACAAAAAUAUUGAGAUUUUAUACUUUUAGUAGGCAAUUUCCAACAAACUCUCGGGCAAGACGCGUUGUAGGAAAAUUGUGGUGCAUACCUGGCGGUGCCUGUGCUGGCCAUUAAAGCCUUUGCCAACCUUUGGACAAUAUACAUACAUAUAUAUAAAUAUACGUGUGUAGAAAGAGAGAGAGAGAGAGAGCGAGAGAGGUUGAGGAUCGAUACGCGAAAGCAAGCUCGCGAGAGAGAGGACCAUCCGACACACAAAACUCGCACUUGCACAUAGAAAUCAAGAGAAAAGAGAGAGAGAGAGACGAAGAGAGGAACGUGGGCGUAUCGAAUCUCUCGCCCUCGCCUUUCUCUCUCCCUCUUUCUCUCUCAUCUAUCUACUGGAUAGAUAAUAUAGAACGAGCGAGCCAAGGGAAAUACCAGGGAUGAGAGAAAGAGAGGAGAGAGGGAGAGAGAAUUAUUCGAUCGAUCGAAGCUCCGAGAGGACAGGGGAGAGAGAGAGACGACGACGACGACGAGAGGACACGGGGAGGUCGUGUGUGAACGUAGGACGAAAUAAACGAUGUGCCCUGGACAACACGGUGCACCGCACAACACAGAUACGAAAGCCCCCCGCCCCACCCGCCGAGGCUGUUUCACUUCGGCUACGAACACCUUACGGUUAUUUUUCUGAACAAAAGAAACACAACGGAAUUAAGGGAAACAAUGAAAGAUUAACUCGGGACUGGACUUUCCUUUAGUUCUCGUCGAAGAAAAAAAUCGGCUAGCACAGUAACAACGACUGGUCGAAACUCAUGACGGUUUCAAAGAGUUCAGCUUGGUGGGCCUGGAGAAUGCUAACGCAAGAGAUCCACGUGACUCGGGGAGUCCCGCGCAGCCGAUAAUGUCCCGGCGCGCGAAUUUCUCAAACCGCGUCGUCGCAUGCACAUCAUCCCGUGUGUGUCGGUGGGGACACGACGACGACAACGACGACGCUGUACGAUCAGGAGGCAUAUCAAAGCCGGGAGAAGAAUCUCGGCUUUGUCACCAUCGACCACACCUAAAAAUUUCGUCAGGCCACUCCUGCCGAACGCAAUAUUAUUAAAUUCAUAGUUUCAAAUGUGGAGCGAAGGAGAAGAAGAGGAAAGGGAGACGAACGAGGAGGCGGCGGCAGCGAAGCUCGAAGGUGCCGAGCAUCCUUUCCACCGCGUUCACGAUUCAUUCUCGCAUUCUCUCGACUCAUUGACUGGAGAAAGAGAAGCGAGGAAAGCGCCAUCUUCGCAAGCAACCGGAUUACGAGUCGACGCGCGAAUUCUUCCCUCUUCGAACUUGACGAAUUUUGUAUGACCUCUUGAACAAAGUAACCGGAUUAAAAUGUAAACGCGCCGGUUCCCUUCCACGAAUUGAGAGACCUCGAAAAAUUCUAUUGAAAAAUCGCCCAA
rnacentral:lncRNA from 1 species